AUUCCCAACUGUUUGAUAUUUGCAGGAUAUAGCAGUCGUACCUCUCUUAGUCAUACUUCUGGUGCUGGAAAGCCAGGUACAUGAAACAAUCAACUAGUCUCUCAAGCUUCACUUGAAGUUAUUAGUCAAUUAUUUUUUAGUAUUCAAUCUUGUAAAUGUCAUUAGUUCUGAUUGUUGAGCACCAUUCUGAGGGUGGAAAAUCGUCUUUGAUUUCAUCAAACUCUUGUUGAAGUAGUUUGCCUUUCAGAAGGCAAUGGUUUUAUUGAAAUAUGGUGUUACUGCGGGUACGUUUUUGCAUGUUAUGAUAAGAAAGGAAUACUAAACUUUUUCAAGGAAAGCUAGGAGAAGAGUUGACAUCUCUAAUGAUAGAGUAACAUUGUGAAUUUCUUUGCAGCAGUUGCUGUAGAGUGCAGAGGAAGAAUUGAUGUUUUUUUAUUUUAUUUUGGUCAAAAUUGAUUAACUACACUAUAUAUUUCGUGUCUAUGCCUUCAAAUUCCUUAAAAGUUGCAUGAAGACAUUAUUGUCUCUAUCGCUUUUCUGCAGAACAUAGCGGAGGACAGUAUAUGGCCAAUGCUUUUGAAGGAGGCCGGGUUUAAAAGCUCUAGGUGGGCUGGGGCUUCUUUCUCUUGGAGGAAAAUUAGUUCUUAGGCGAAUUUUUGAGUUUGUGGCAGAAGCAAGGAGCUCAGAGGUAUUUGUUGCCCUUUGCUUGCUGACGGUGGUGGGGACUUCACUUCUCACCCAGAAGUUGGGGUUCAGUGAUACAGUUUAUACGCAGAUACUGUAAGGUGUUAUGUGGUGCAGUAUUCUUUUGUUACAACAUUAUUUGAUGUUUCAAUUUCAGGCAAAUUGUUCAGAAACAAGUUUUUGAAAUUGAUUGUUGCAUGUUUUCGAGUUCUCUGUUUUCAUGAUUUCAUUGACAGAAUUGUUUAUCUGUAAACGAGGAGGGGAGUUUGGCUUUGUAGUUUUUUCUCUGGCAAACAUGUCGGUCCUACUCAUAACUCAUUUUUUUUACACCAAAUGCAAAAGUAUGGUGUGACCAAGUAUUUGUGGUUUUUUAUUUGUCGUAUUAAUAUGCAAAUUUGUCGAAAACAGGCUUGGUGUGCUACCACUUGAGCUUAACAAGUUGCUCAUAAUUGUUGUUGUCCUGUCAUGGCAUUAACCCCAUUGCUUAACAAAGCUGGAAGAAGAGCUGCUGCAUUUAUUGAUGACAAUUUUGAAGCAGAGGAUGAAGCGCCUGAUGUGGUGAAUUUCAAUUCAAGUGACACUCUAUAUGCAUGGAAUGCAUGGCGUCAAGUGCAUUGGUACGACGUGCGCGUUGAAGUGGUCGACUAC